GACUGUUGGGUGUGUGGCUUCAUGGGACUGAAGGCUUUCUGACCCCUACUACUUUACGGGUCACAAAUUGAAAUUGCCCCCCGUCAAAACUUUUCGCAUAACUUUUUUCUUUCCGAUUAUCUGAGGAGCUUUGCCUGAACUUGACAGCAUGCCGCCGGAAGAAACAGUUUCCAAGUCACCUCUCGAUAAACCUCUCAAUCAACUCACUGACGAUGACAUUUCUCAGCUCACACGCGAAGACUGCCGUCGUUACCUCAAACAAAAAGGAAUGAGAAAGCCGUCAUGGAAUAAAUCACAGGCGAUUCAGCAAGUUAUAUCGUUGAAGGCUCUCCUCGAGCCGGAUACUGACGCCGGAACUCGGAAGAAACUUCACAUUCCUCGUGCAGAUACUCAUGUACGGCGAGUCCAGAGCGGGAAAAAUACCUAUGGCGAACCUUCUGAACCAGUGCCUGAUAGAAGAAAUCAGCAGGACAGACCUGAUCUUUCCAGUCAUAUUACUGCCCUUCCGGUCGCUGUUGUGGAUAAUUCAGCUCCUUCUAGAACAAUAGGUUCAGCAGAUAAACCAGUAGGACAAAUGACAAUCUUCUAUAGAGGCAAGGUGAAUGUCUAUGAUGAUGUGCCUGCCGACAAGGCACAAAAAAUCAUGUGUCUUGCUUCAAGCCCUCUUUGUGUGCCUUCAGAAACUCCAUCGAAUGCCACUGUAGCAGCUCGACAUUCAGCAUGCUGCUUACAAGCUGCAAAUAGUAAACUACGCCUAGAUACUAAUAUUGUACCGACUAUUCAAACAGUGAAAAUGAGUGAGGUUUCUCGAGUUCCUAUAGAAGAAAGCAACCGCUUAUACAAUGAUAAUCCUGAAGCAGUGGAGAGCCCCGCAAGCAGGAAAGCAUCAGUACAAAGAUAUCUUGAGAAGCGAAAAGAAAGGUUCAAGUGGAAGAGAAAGGUAGAAACAACUUCAUCAGCUAGCUUGGAUAUCUAUUUAAGUGAUCGAAUUGGGACUCGUACGCCAAGUGACUAUGCAAGUGGGGCUGAUCUUUGCUUCACACCCCACAUUACACCUACAGGAAGUGGUCCUAUACAAGACAAUAUUCAGAUGAAUCCCACUUUUUCUAGUGAUCUCAAUGACAGAGAUGUUAGAGAGUGAAUGUCGGAAACUGAAUGGUUGGGGAUGCACACCAGAUUUCUGUUUUUGUCUUGAAAUGUUCAGAGGCCACAUCAUGUUCUAGUGUAUGGAUAGUUGAAUGAAGUGUGAUGAUGGUAGCACUUGGGACAAUAUCUGUGAAACUGCCUUCUCUAUCUAGCUAGUCGUCCUCUUCAAUAUUGAUUUUAGGCUGUAGCAUUUCCUUGUUGAUGGAUCCAUUCUCAAUGAUCUUUGACAAACCAGCGGAACUGCAUGACAUAGAAUGUGAACGGGUCAUGCUCUCUAAUGAUCCUUGACGUUUAAAAUAAGGCUUUCCUGCUCCGUUAUUUGAUCGAAUUAACGUGAUUGUAGGCUUAAUUUCUUCUCUGCACAUGCGAAGUAAGUAUUGGGAAAGAAUUGUCUUCGCGUCUACUUAUGUUUCUUUCCCUUUGUAUAAUACCUACCUUUCUCGUGUAAAGUUUAAAGUUCAAGAUCAUCAUAGCACAUGUAUGAUUAUCUAAUUU